ensembl:lncRNA
AGGUGUUACAUAACAUCGAAUAUGACUUUUUACUGCAUGCCAUGUUGCAAAUUGUAUCGCAUGUUACAGUGCAUGGUUCCUGUUGGAAACAGUAUAUAGAGUUACAAAGUCUAGAAAGUGUCUGGGGUGCAUCAGAACUUUUGCAUCCACAGAGAGGCAGUGUUAUAAUGGCUGUAUCAUUAUCAUUCAGCAUCAUGGUUCAUUGUGACAGCAGCUCGCAGCUUCCUCACUGCAGCCCAUUAUCUCUGCCCCUGCUCCACUCUAGGCACACUAAUGAGAAACUGGCACUCAAGAUCAAAGACCAGAGCAGGAAGAUCAUCCACCUGACAGCUGAGAGAGAUCAUCUUCAGGAGAAUGUGAAGGGUUUACAGAGAGAAAUCAGGAGGCUGAAAGCAGAGCUAGAUAAGCAGAGCGACUGAAGGUAACACACACUCCAGCGCAAAGCCUCUAACACACUCCAGCACAUGUCCACAGAUAUUUUUUUUAUCAGCAUCAAUUUUUUAAGUUGAAGUCGGCAUGAAACAGAAGUUAAGACUGACUUUACUGCUGUAUUGUGACAUUUUUCAGAGUGAAACGGCUAUUGAGCAAGAAAAAAAUUUGGGCAGCACUUAAUCAGUUACUGAUAGGACUGUGAAAACUGAUCAUUGCAUACAGAAGUCAAGGCUGCAGCCUCACAUAGACAUUAAGUCGUAUCACAGAAAGAGCAA